UACGGAGGGGGCUAGCGUUGUUCGGAAUUACUGGGCGUAAAGCGCGCGUAGGCGGAUCUGCAAGUCGGGGGUGAAAUCCCGAGGCUCAACCUCGGAACUGCCUUCGAUACUGCGGGUCUCGAGUCCGGGAGAGGUGAGUGGAAUUCCUAGUGUAGAGGUGAAAUUCGUAGAUAUUAGGAAGAACACCAGUGGCGAAGGCAGCUCUCUGGGACGGUACUGACGCUGAGACGCGAAAGCGUGGGGAGCGAACAGG
rnacentral:rRNA from 1 species